UGACCAAGCCAGGAAAGAAAAAGGGGAAAAGCUUCCCCAAGACCUAAACUCAUAAUUCCUUGAAAUUAAAAGAGAAAUCAAGUCUAAAACUAGUGUAUGUACUGAAAUUAGUGAUCAUCCGAACAAGGAGGACAUAAGGCAAAGAAAGCGAAGCAUUGGGAAGUCAAGCGGUGCGGACACUCGUCUAAAAGGAAAGCUUUAAGCUCUAGGUACUUAACAACUCUUGGAUGAUGAUCAAGCCGCCUCUAAAGAACCGAAUACAUAGAAGAAUCAAGCUUCCGCUUUUGUAUAAAUGAUUUAUGUGAAUGAUACAUCACGUAUGUUUAGUAAAUGUCUCAAAACACUUUGGUAACUCGAUAUUUU